rnacentral:rRNA from 1 species
UAGGGAAUAUUGGGCAAUGGGGGAAACCCUGACCCAGCAACGCCGCGUGAGGGAAGAAGGUUUUCGGAUUGUAAACCUCUGUUCUUGGAGAAGAGAAGGAGACGGUAUCCAAGGAGGAAGCCCCGGCUAACUACGUGCCAGCAGCCGCGGUAAUACGUAGGGGGCGAGCGUUGUCCGGAAUGAUUGGGCGUAAAGGGCGCGUAGGCGGCCGAGCAAGUCAGUAGUGGAAGUCCAAUUUUCAAGGUUGGAAGUGCUAUUGAAACUGCAGGGCUUGAGUGCAGGAGAGGUUAUCGGAAUUCCCGGUGUAGCGGUGAAAUGCGUAGAGAUCGGGAGGAACACCAGUGGCGAAGGCGGGUAACUGGACUGCAACUGACGCUGAGGCGCGAAAGUGUGGGGAGCAAACAG